rnacentral:rRNA from 1 species
UACGUAGGGUGCAAGCGUUGUCCGGAAUUAUUGGGCGUAAAGAGCUCGUAGGCGGCUUGUUGCGUCGGCUGUGAAAUCCCGGGGCUUAACUCCGGGCGUGCAGCCGAUACGGGCAGGCUAGAGUCCGGUAGGGGAGACUGGAAUUCCUGGUGUAGCGGUGAAAUGCGCAGAUAUCAGGAGGAACACCGGUGGCGAAGGCGGGUCUCUGGGCCGGUACUGACGCUAAGGAGCGAAAGCGUGGGGAGCGAACAGG